AAAAAUGUUCAUUUAAAUUUAAAGAUUAUUGAUCUUUAAGAAUGUGUUCUUGCAUUAUUAUUUAUAUCACUUCAAAAUGAUCUCAAACCAACAUUAUUGUGUAUUACAAUAAUUUAUUGUCUGACCGGCRUAGCAGCACUUAAACCCMUGAACUGGUUUCACUUUUAUCAAUCUAAUUUCAAACCAAACCAAUGAGUUUCAAUGGGAUUAAAAAGUCAGAUAUUUAAUUUUAAAUAAUCAUAAUUAUAUUUAGUCUAGAUCACCACCCUCCUCCAGAACAUCUGGUCUGCUGGUCCAAACAGUGUCUGUUUGUUCUCAGAGAUACGUGUCAUGAGCUGCUGGGUCACGUUCCCCUGCUGGCCGACCCAAAGUUCGCCCAGUUCUCCCAGGAGAUCGGCCUGGCCUCACUGGGAGCGACGGAUGAGGAUGUGCAGAAACUGUCCACGUGUUAUUUCUUCACCAUUGAGUUUGGACUCUGCAAACUGGACGGUCAGCUCAGAGCUUAUGGAGCGGGAUAACUGUCAUCCAUCGGAGAGCUCAGGGGAUGGAAACAUCUGGUCUCCUGUCCUAACAGCAUG